GAUGAACGCUGGCGGCGUGCUUAACACAUGCAAGUCGAACGAGAAAUGUAGACGGAAACCUUCGGGCGGAAGCCUUCAUUUCGAGUGGCGGCCGGGUGAGUACCGCGUGGGUAACCUGCCUCAUACAGGGGGAUCACAGUUGGAAACGACUGUUAAUACCGCAUCAGACCACAGCAUCGCAUGAUGCGGGGUUGAAAACUCCGGUAGUAUGAGAUGGACCCGAGUUCGAUUUGCCUGUUGGCAGGGUAACGGCCCACCAAAGCGACGAUCGAUAGCCGAGCUGAGAGGAUGGCCGGCCACAUUGGGACUGAGACACGGCCCAAACUCCUACGGGAGGCAGCAGUGGGGAAUAUUGCACAAUGGGGGAAACCCUGAUGCAGCGACGCCGCGUGAGUGAAGAAGUACUUCGGUAUGUAAAGCUCUAUCAGCAGGGAAGAAAAUGACGGUACCUGAGGAAGAAGCCCCGGCUAACUACGUG
rnacentral:rRNA from 1 species